rnacentral:rRNA from 1 species
AUCUACGGCCAUACCACCCUGAAUGCACCCGAUCUCAUCUGAUCUCGGAAGCUAAACAGGGUUGGGCCUGGUUAGUACUUGGAUGGGAGACCGCCUGGGAAUACCAGGUGCUGUAGGCU